GACGAACGCUGGCGGCGUGGAUUAGGCAUGCAAGUCGAACGGUAUCAUCCUUUCGGGGGUGAGAGAGUGGCGAACUGGUGAGUAACACGUAGGUUAUCUACCCUCAAGACGGGGACAACCCAGGGAAACUUGGGCUAAUACCGGAUGUGAGCAACUUUUAGUUGUUUGAAAGGUGGCGUAAGCUGUCGCUUGGGGAUGAGCCUGCGUCCUAUUAGUUAGUUGGUGAGGUAACGGCUCACCUAGGCAAUGGUAGGUAGGCGGCCUUAACGGGUGGUCGCCCACACUGGGAUUGAGAUACGGCCCAGACUCCUACGGGAGGCAGCAGUCGAGAAUAGUCUACAAUGGUCGGAAGACUGAUAGUGCGACGCCGCGUGAACGAUGAAUCCCUUCGGGGUGUAAAGUUCUUUUAUAUGUGAGCAGUGCUUCUUAUAUUAACAGUAUGGGGAGAGAGAUAUUAGCAUAUGAAUAAGCAACGGCUAACUCCGUGCCAGCAGCCGCGGUAAAACGU
rnacentral:rRNA from 1 species